UACAGAGGUGGCAAGCGUUGUUCGGAAUUACUGGGCGUAAAGGGCGCGUAGGCGGUCUUGUAAGUUCCGUGUGAAAUCCCUCGGCUCAACUGAGGAACCGCACGGAAACUGCUUGGCUUGAGUUCGGGAGAGGGAAGCGGGAAUCCGGGUGUAGCGGUGAAAUGCGUAGAAUAUCCGGAGGAACACCGGUGGCGAAGGCG
rnacentral:rRNA from 1 species